rnacentral:rRNA from 1 species
GUGGGGAAUAUUGGACAAUGGGCGAAAGCCUGAUCCAGCAAUGCCGCGUGAGUGAUGAAGGCCUUAGGGUUGUAAAGCUCUUUUACCCGGGAUGAUAAUGACAGUACCGGGAGAAUAAGCUCCGGCUAACUCCGUGCCAGCAGCCGCGGUAAUACGGAGGGAGCUAGCGUUGUUCGGAAUUACUGGGCGUAAAGCGCACGUAGGCGGCCAUUCAAGUCAGAGGUGAAAGCCCAGGGCUCAACCUUGGAACUGCCUUUGAAACUAGAUGGCUAGAAUUCUGGAGAGGUCAGUGGAAUUCCGAGUGUAGAGGUGAAAUUCGUAGAUAUUCGGAAGAACACCAGUGGCGAAGGCGACUGACUGGACAGAUAUUGACGCUGAGGUGCGAAAGCGUGGGGAGCAAACAGGAUUAGAAACCCGUGUAGUCC